CUGCUGCCUCCCGUAGGAGUCUGGUCCGUGUCUCAGUACCAGUGUGGGGGACCUUCCUCUCAGAACCCCUACGCAUCGUCGCCACGGUGGGCCGUUACCCCGCCGUCUAGCUAAUGCGCCGCAUGCCCAUCCUCUUCCGAUGAAUCUUUCCUCGAUCUCGGAUGCCCGAAACCGAUAUACGCGGGAUUAGCCUCCCUUUCGGAAGGUUGUCCCCCUGAAGAGGGCAGGUUGCAUACGUGUUACUCACCCGUGCGCCGGUCGCCGGCG
rnacentral:rRNA from 1 species